rnacentral:sRNA from 1 species
UUUUUUUUUGGUUGUUUUUUUUUAGUCUAUGAAUGGAGGCAGCGGACAAAGCGGUCUAAUUUAUCUGCGGUUUAGUCCAUUUCAUUUUUGAGGCGGACAAUAAACCGUUGCGCACCAUGUUUAUUUGUAUGUAAAAACGGUAUGGAAUUGGUCCGCUGCGGUUUUCUUCUAUUUUUUUUACCCCAAACCACUGCGGAAUAUAAUUGAUGAAUGGUAAAUAAAAAACGGUCUGAUCUAUUGACGGUUGUGUCCGCCCCAACCGCCGUAACCAUUCAAACCCUUAAUUGUCUGUUUGUUCACCGGGUUAUAUGAACAGUUUUAUAAUAUAUGACCAUGUAAAUUUCGC